rnacentral:rRNA from 1 species
UACGAAGGGGGCGAGCGUUGUUCGGAAUUACUGGGCGUAAAGGGCGCGUAGGCGGCCCCUUUUGUCGCGUGUGAAAGCCCCGGGCUCAACCUGGGAGGUGCGCGCGAAACGGGAUGACUAGAGAUCGGGAGAGGAGAGUGGAAUUCCCAGUGUAGAGGUGAAAUUCGUAGAUAUUGGGAAGAACACCGGUGGCGAAGGCGGCUCUCUGGACCGAUACUGACGCUGAGGCGCGAAAGCGUGGGGAGCAAACAGG